rnacentral:rRNA from 2 species
GACAGAGGUGCCGAGCGUUAGGCGGAAUCACUGGGCUUAAAGCGUGUGUAGGCGGGCGGGCAAGUACCUUGUGAAAUCCCACGGCUCAACCGUGGAACGGCUGGGUAUACUGCCUGUCUUGAGCCAACUAGGGGCGAGCGGAACAGACGGUGGAGCGGUGAAAUGCGUAGAUAUCGUCUGGAACGCCGAAGGUGAAAACAGCUCGCUGGGGUUGUGCUGACGCUGAGACACGAAAGCCAGGGGAGCGAACGGG